AAAGAAACAAGGCUAUGUUCUGUGGCACUUCUUGUCACAGAGCACUUAGCAUCACAGUCGCGAGUCCAAAUACAGUUCAGUGGGUUACAGCAGGACAGUGACAGGGUUCCUUCCAGGUAUCAAUGUCGUUCUGUGUGAAGACCCAUCUGAACAUCUCAAGCCAGGGGAAAUUAAGAGCGUUCCCCACCUGACACAACUGGACAUCACGAACUCCAGCAACUGAGUUGCCACUCCUUUUUUUCAGUAUUAGCAAAGGUGAUGAGAUGCUGACUUCAUUAAAAGGGAGGUAUAUGGAGGCCAAGGUUAUAGCUUUUGUCCAUUUCCUUCUAAAUAUGUACCGGGGUGGUGGCAAAGAAGAGCAGUGCCAUCACAGUCUUUUACCAAGACAGAGAAAGAAUAUGGUCACAGGAUGUAGAUAAGGCACUUGGGUGCUCAUGUUUCGGACCUACUUGCAUGUCCUACUCUUUUCGGUUGAUGUUGAGACUACUAAAUACAGAGAAACCAGCAUUUAAAUGCUGCCCAUCCAUAUGGACCUUGGCAAGCCAGAAAUGAUCACGUCCCUGUAUAUGUCUACAUCUCUGUAAAGCAGAGGACACAGACAGACCUUGCUCGCCCUUCUCCCACCUCUCAGGUUUCUGGGGAGGACCUGGAUCCAGCCUACCUUGAAUAAGAGGUUGCAUCUGUGAGUGAGAUGGCUAUGACUUUUCUGGUUCCACCUAUAAUGGGAAUUUGCCCUGGCUCCACCAAUGAGUGACUAAUCUCCUGGACAGAUUUCGAUGCAGGUUCAAGGUGCUGCUGGUGGGCCAGAAGUUUGGAGGAGUCUUGGACAAAUUCCCAAAGUGCCUCUGAGAGAGAAAAUGGGGCACAAGUGCAGGCUGCUGCUUUGAGAGGGAUGAGUACUGAGAACUCCUACAAAAAGAAGCCAACUGUCGUCUCAGAGAUGGCAUCCGGAUCUUUUAUUUAGAAACAGACGAUGACCUCUGUACGAUGACCGGUACGUUUUUCCCAGACUGCUGCUUCAAAAAUAGAACCUCUUGCUCACUUUGCCCUUUGGAUUUUUCCUAUUCCCUCCCUGCUUACACCAAAAGAGAUGACAACAGCUCCGUGGUCCCGACCCUAGUGCUGGACACCAGCCCUAACCAGCACCGAGCACCUUCUCGCACCCAAACCCAGCUGAGCAGGGGCCCACCACUGUGCAGUGCUGCCUGCCGGUGCCGUGGGCUGCUCAGGCACUGCUGGGGACGCAGUGCAGGCUGGUGGCUGCUGCUGCAGCACAGCUGCACCCAGGCACAGCCCGCGGUUCCCUCCGCACGUGUCCUGAUGGUGCACGUACGGAUAUGGGAAAGGACGCGAGUGUUGAUGAUAACCCCAAGCCCACGUCGUGCGGAUGCGGUAGCUGAUAACAGCGUGAGUCCAUUCCUCGGGUCUAAGCGAUGCUGAACGAUUUCUCUGCUCCAGGUUUUCAGUGCAAAACCACGUGCUCACCAAUUUAGCUCAUUAAUGCUUGAGAGUAAAUUUCGGGUUAUCUGUAAUACUCUGAACCAGACAUGCAAGUUUAGCAUCUGUUUUUGACUGGUAAUUGUGACAUGUAGAGGGCAUCUACGGCCUGUUUUCAGAGGUGACCUCAUGUGCCUAAAUCCUAAUGAGUUAUUUUUAAGCUAAAACGUCCUAGUUUCAGCUGCAGCUUCACCUACGGGAUCUUAUU